rnacentral:rRNA from 1 species
UCCGUAGGCGGACAGUUAAGUCAGGGGUGAAAGUUUACGGCUCAACCGUAAAAUUGCCUCUGAUACUGAUUGUCUUGAAUUAGUGUGAAGUGGUUAGAAUGAGUAGUGUAGCGGUGAAAUGCAUAGAGAUUACUCAGAAUACCGAUUGCGAAGGCAGAUCACUAACACUAUAUUGACGCUGAGGGACGAAAGCGUGGGGAGCGAACAGGAUUAGAUACCCUGGUAGUCC